rnacentral:rRNA from 1 species
CCUACGGGUGGCUGCAGUGGGGAAUAUUGGACAAUGGGCGAAAGCCUGAUCCAGCCAUGCCGCGUGUGUGAAGAAGGCCUUCGGGUUGUAAAGCACUUUCAGUGGGGAAGAAAGCCUUGGGGCUAAUACCCUCGAGGAAGGACAUCACCCACAGAAGAAGCACCGGCUAACUCCGUGCCAGCAGCCGCGGUAAUACGGAGGGUGCGAGCGUUAAUCGGAAUUACUGGGCGUAAAGCGCGCGUAGGCGGUCUGAUAAGCCGGUUGUGAAAGCCCCGGGCUCAACCUGGGAACGGCAUCCGGAACUGUCAGGCUAGAGUGCAGGAGAGGAAGGUAGAAUUCCCGGUGUAGCAGUGAAAUGCGUAGAGAUCGGGAGGAAUACCAGUGGCGAAGGCGGCCUUCUGGACUGACACUGACGCUGAGGUGCGAAAGCGUGGGUAGCAAACAGGAUUAGAUACCCUGGUAGUC